CCUACGGGUGGCAGCAGUCGCGAAAACUUUGCAAUACACGAAAGUGUGACAGGGUCAUCCCGAGUGCCGACCGCUGAGGUUGGCUUUUACCUAGUCUAGAAAGCUAGGGGAAUAAGGAGAGGGCAAGUCUGGUGUCAGCCGCCGCGGUAAUACCAGCUCUCCGAGUGGUGUGGACGUUUAUUGGGCCUAAAGCAUCCGUAGCUGGCCAAACAAGUCCCCUGUUAAAUCCACCGAUUUAAUCGUUGGCUUGCGGGGGAUACUGCUCGGCUAGGGGACGAGAGAGGCAGACGGUAUUCCCGGGGUAGGGGUGAAAUCCUAUAAUCCCGAGAAGACCACCAGUGGCGAAGGCUGUCUGCUAGAACGCGCCCGACGGUGAGGGAUGAAAGCUGGGGGAGCGAACCGGAUUAGAUACCCCUGUAGUCC
rnacentral:rRNA from 1 species